rnacentral:lncRNA from 1 species
CUCGAGCCCGCGGCGGCCGUCGCGAGCCCCCCGCGGCCGGCGUGGGCCGCCUGGUUAGGCCGCGGCCACCGCACCCUGAGGGCGGGAAGGACCUGCGCGACGGCCCCCUCCAGGAUGCCCUCCGCGUCCACGUCCGCGUCCCGACUCCCACCCGCUGCCUUGGAAAGAAGUCUCGGGGCCGUGGGGACCAGAAACGGGCGCCAGAGCUGAUGGCAACCAGAGGACGCCCGCACACCCUCGCGCGCACGUGGCCUCCGAGGAGCGGCGUGGAGUGGGGCCAGGGUCACGAGGCCGCUCGCAGAGAUCCCCGUGCGGUCCGGCGACAGCCCAGCAGGAGACAGAUGUUUUUGUAUUUUCUUCCUGCCGUGUGCUUUAUUCACUUAAUCUAUGUCGUGAGACUUCAGUAAAACCUGGUGGAUUAAACACCCUCCUGCAACCUCUCUUAAAAUGGCAGCGGAGGGACUAAAAACGGCGUGAGCUGCAAGGACAACGAGAACGGCGAAGGAGAAGAGAAUAAUAAAAUCUUGCAACUGGAAGGCAAAUGGAGGAGCUGAAACUGUCUCAGGAAACCAGAGAAAUGACAACUGGACAUUGCAGGAAGGUCCCGAACCACUACUUGCCAGUGGAAAAUCUCAGGCUGCGGAAGUGGGGGCCCACGUAAUUCUACGAGUGGGUGUGCAGGCGACGGGGCACACUGGGAGGUUGGCUGAGAGUCUGUACCAGAAGCUCCCGAAUCGUCAGAUCCCUCUCCCCAGCUGAACAACCAGGUGGCUGUUUUCCUUCCUUCCCAGUGGAAAACCAGAGGAGUGGUUCUCAAACGUCAGCAGCCAUCAGAGUCCCCUGGAGGGCAAGUUCAAAUGCAGAUUGCUGGGCCCCACCCCUAGAGUUUCCGAUGCAGCAGGUCCAAGAAGGGACCUGGGAAUCUGCAUUUCUAACAGAUUUCUAGGUGAUGCUGAUGCUGAUGUUGAUGCUGGGCACUACAC